ensembl:lncRNA
AUUGGCUCAAGCCGCUGCUGGGGCCGGAGGCGGGGAGAUGCCUCUGAGAUCCGCAGUUUCCGACCUGCUCAUCUUUCUGCGUGCAGUCUGUCUCUUCCUGGGACCGUGUUGGUUGGGCAACUGAUGACCUUGCACCUCCUGUGUGCCGGCGCCUGGGAUGAGUCCUGAACCAAGCGGACUGUCCGCUGGGAUCUGACAGCCUGGUGACGAAGACGGGAUCGAUGUGAAAUGACAAGUGAUUCAAGAGGGUCUGGAGCAGCGCGGCCAAAUAGAGACACAGAGGCGCACCUGUAGUUUCAAACUUUCUGGGAACCACACUCUCACCCUUCCCUAGGCAGCCGCGUGUGAGCUCCGUCGUGUCCGACUCUUUGUGACCCCAUGGACUGUAGCCCGCCAGGCUCCUCUGUCCAUCGGAUUGUCCAGGGAUGGAGCCCUCCUUUCUCUGUGUCUCCAGCUUUGGCAGGCGAGUUCUUUACCACCAACGCCCCCUUGGAAGCCCUAGGCAGGGGUCCUCAUAAAAUCACCAGGAGAGAGAGAGAGAAUAAAAAAAAAAAAAAGAAGAAGAAGCUCUUAUAAUCAAGUACCUCCCUCAACCUCUCAAACCUCUUUUAAAGAUCGGACACAGGAGGUCAGCUAAUGGUCAGGAGCCGUCACAGCCUUGCAUAGGUGACCUGGUAACACAUUUUGUGAAAUGGGAGCGGUUGAUACCAGUUGUCUUGAGAACUCAGCUAAAACUGAGACUGAAAUCGUUUUGUUGAAAAAUCCUUUUGUGCAGCUAUGUGGAGGUACAUCAGUUAGCUUCAGCUCCCCCUCGGCUCUCUUCUGUACUCGACUGACAGCUGCAGAGGGCGCUGCAUUCACCCUCUGAUGGCUCAGUCUGGCACAGAGUAGGUGCUCACUCCACAGAUAGUUGGUGAUUCAGUAGAGAAAUACAGUUGGCAUACUGGCUUGGGUUCCUUCUAAAGGUGAGCCUGGGACAAGGGACUUGGAUCUGUUGUUGUUCAUGUCCAACUCUGUGAGCCCACGGACGGCAGCACGCCAGGCUUCUCUGAUCCUAACCAUCUCCUGCAGUUUGCCCAAGUUCAUGUCCAUUGAAUUGCCCUCCCAUCUUCCCCAAUAGCAUAUUAGACAUCUUCAGACCUGGGAGGACUCAUAUUUCAGUGUCAUAUCUGUUUGUCUUUUUAUACUGUUCGUGGGGUUCUCACAGCCAAAAUACUGGAGGGGUUUGCCACCCCUUCUCCAGUGGACCAAGUUUUGUCAGGGUCUCCACUGUGACCCAUCCAUCUUGCGUGGCCAUGCAUGGCAUAGCUCAUACCUUCAUUGAGUUAUGAUAGCUUAUGGUGAACGAUGUCAGAUUCGUGUUCUCCGAAGAAGAUUUAGCUUCAGGACCAGGGACCAGGUUUGAUCACUCAAGAGCUUUUGUGUAACAGAGUUUCAUUAAAAUGAAAAGGUUAGGUUAGUGAAGUUGUUCAGUCGUGUCCAACUCUUUGCGACCCCAUGGACUGCAGCCUACCAGGCUCCUCCAUCCAUGGGAUUUUCCAGGCAAGAGUACUGGAGUGGGGUGCCAUUGCCUUCUCCAGAGGAUCUUCCCAACCCAGAGAUCAAACCCAGGUCUACUGCAUUGUAGGCAGGCACUUUACCGUCUGAGCCACCAGGGAUGCCCUAGUGAAAAAGGGACAGAGAAAGCUUCUGACACAGACGUCAGAAGGCGGGUGGAGAGUGCCCCGACACUUGCUUGUCUUAAAGGGAGUUACUUUUUCAAUUGGUUAUUACAAUAAAUCAAAAGAUGUCUCAAGGUUGUAAAGGUCUUACUAGACCCACGCCACAAUUUACAUUUUAAGAUGACAGGAUUAGAACUAGCAAUAGAAAGAUCUUAGCAGACCCACUCCCAUAAUAUCUAUUUUAAGAUAACAGGAUUGGUCAGAAGGUUUUCAAGAAGGAGAAACUGACCUCAAGCAGGAUACAUUGUUGUUAGAUAAUCCUCAGUACAGAGUUUAAGCUGAGCUGUUUUGUUGUGUAAUCAUCAGCUCCAGGAUUAAAGGAAAAAAAGUUGUCUGUGACUAGGACUAAGGUGUCCUUUUCUCUUCCUUGAGAAUUCCAGACCCGUAUCUCCUCCUCAAGAGCCUCAGACCCCUCUCUCCUCCUUGGGGACCCUGGACUUAUCAACCAACCUAGGAAUUGACUCUUUCAGUUACACAAGCCCCUUCUCCAUGACAAGGCAGUGAUCCAUGAAGGGGGACUUGCAUGCUCUUGCUUUAUUUGGGAGGUAAUUCCAGGGAUCAGGAGCAAGGCACCAGACGAGUGAGGGCAGGAGGGAAGUCCAUAUAAGCUGAAUUCUCAAGGUCGCUCCUCAGGGCAACUGGAGCUUGACCUUGCCCAGGACUCUGAGGAGCGUGGAGCAGCCUCUCAGAACCACCUGCCGUUCACCAUGGAGGCACCUUUUAUUUCUCAUUCCCUGUCCUCCUGGGGUGAGACUUCCUUCCUUAUAGUUCACUCCCGACCUCGUGUGACC